AUGAACGCUGGCGGCGUGCCUAAUACAUGCAAGUCGAGCGAACAGAUGAGGAGCUUGCUCCUAUGACGUUAGCGGCGGACGGGUGAGUAACACGUGGAUAACCUACCUAUAAGACUGGGAUAACUUCGGGAAACCGGAGCUAAUACCGGAUAAUAUAUUGAACCGCAUGGUUCAAUAGUGAAAGACGGUUUUGCUGUCACUUAUAGAUGGAUCCGCGCCGCAUUAGCUAGUUGGUAAGGUAACGGCUUACCAAGGCAACGAUGCGUAGCCGACCUGAGAGGGUGAUCGGCCACACUGGAACUGAGACACGGUCCAGACUCCUACGGGAGGCAGCAGUAGGGAAUCUUCCGCAAUGGGCGAAAGCCUGACGGAGCAACGCCGCGUGAGUGAUGAAGGUCUUCGGAUCGUAAAACUCUGUUAUUAGGGAAGAACAAAUGUGUAAGUAACUAUGCACGUCUUGACGGUACCUAAUCAGAAAGCCACGGCUAACUACGUG
rnacentral:rRNA from 1 species